GGAUCGUGAUGUGAACAACUACCUGAGGAUGCUGAAGGACAGAAAACAAAUGGCAAUCUAAGGACG